CCUAGUGGGAGGAAACAGGGAGGGGCAGAGUAGGAUGUGCCGUGAGACCCCCAGAACCUCCCCAUCAAAUCAGCCUUCAACAAAUCGUCUUCCCCCUCCCCCAUCACAUCAUCACAUGCAUUAUUUAAUUUGUUUGAGAUGGAGUGCAUUUCACAGGAUAUAUAAAUCCAUGGAAAUUUGUUAAGUCUUGACAAGAGUUAUUGAAUGUUAUAUUAAGUUUCUCAAAUUGGCCAGUGUUGGAUGGCUUAAAAAUUAUUCAUUAAUGCAUAACAUUAAAUACCAAUAAAUUGCAUGGUAUAGUUAUGAACUAUCCUUGAAAGUCAUUAAAUAUG
rnacentral:lncRNA from 1 species